UACGUAGGAGGCAAGCGUUGUCCGGAAUUACUGGGCGUAAAGCGCGUGUAGGUGGUGGGACAAGUCUGCUGUGAAAGCGCCUGGCUUAACCGGGCGAGGUCGGCGGAAACUGUUCGACUCGAGGACGGUAGAGGGGGGUGGAAUUCCCGGUGUAGUGGUGAAAUGCGUAGAGAUCGGGAGGAACACCUGUGGCGAAGGCGGCUAUCUGGACCAACACUGACACUGAGGCACGAAAGCGUGGGUAGCAAACAGG
rnacentral:rRNA from 1 species